rnacentral:sRNA from 1 species
UCGUGACCUCUUAUCCUACAUAUAUUGAAGACAAACACCGCACUGCUUAGUGCUUACGAGUUACGACUUCGGCCAACCACGUUCCACCAAGCCAAUCAAAAGUACAUGCAUCUCAAGCCUUAAAAUGUAUGAUUCAGUUAUAGUAUAUAAGGCUUUAAAUGGUGACUGCGUUUUGCGGUGCGGGAGAAGUGCGAUGCGGUUCAAAUAAUAACAAAAAUACAUAAAUAUAUAUGUAUAUGUAGAGAUUUUGAUACUGUUACAACACUGUUGCGAUACGGUUUUGGUCACCAUUCACAGCCUAAAUUUCAAUAUCUAGAUAAUUUAAGAACACAAAAAAUUAUU